rnacentral:rRNA from 1 species
UUCCUACGGGAGGCAGCAGUGGGGAAUUUUGCGCAAUGGGGGAAACCCUGACGCAGCAACGCCGCGUGAGUGAUGAAGGCCCUUGGGUCGUAAAGCUCUGACAGAGGGAAAGAAAUGCAUGGUGGCUAAUAUCCACUGAUGCUUGACGGUACCCUCAAAGGAAGCACCCGGCUAACUCCGUGCCAGCAGCCGCGGUAAUACGGAGGGUGCGAGCGUUGUUCGGAUUUAUUGGGCGUAAAGCGCGUGUAGGCGGUUUUAUAAGUCUGAUGUGAAAGCCCCCGGCUCAACCGGGGAAGUGCAUUGGAUACUGUAAGGCUUGAGUACGGGAGAGGGCAGUGGAAUUCCCAGUGUAGGGGUGAAAUCCGUAGAUAUUAGGAGGAACACCAGU